rnacentral:lncRNA from 1 species
UUUUUCUGACUCCUUUGUUUGAUAUCGUGUCGUAUCGUCGUAUUUAUGUAGUUAUUAGGAACGGCAAGCCUACGUUGUUGCGUCCUUUACCUGAAUAUCGUGACCGAAUCGAGUGUCGUCGAUUUGAAUCGUGUCUUGCGAACCAUCGUCGAACAAAAGGUCAUGGCUGGUCGCGGUUCAUCAGCGUUUGUUUUGAAACUGAUGGGUGCCACAAGGCAUGAAAGAGGUGACUUGCAGCAGCAAGACACCGCAAGCCUUCGCAGCAACUGGCUAGCCAGUGCUGCUCUGUUCUGAACUGUACUGCGUGUCAUGCGGAGGGUUUGUGCAAGCUCUCUGGGCGGCGACGCUAGCCACGGAGCUGGCCUCCCUCCCUUCCGUCAGCUGCAAUAUACUACAAGCACUGGGCUACAGCUGCAGCUAGCCCAUGGGUACCGGGGACCAUGACAUCAAUGAGCUGGCUUUCACCUUGUCCAAGGCAGCAGCGGAACACUACGGGCGGGACCCUGGAUCACUGCACCGUGGAUGCCGUUCUGUACCCUGCACGGCACUGUGUGUGGCUUAAGUGGCCAAGCAGAGGGUCAUUGCAUGACUUUUAUGAGGCGCCGCUAGCCAUUGUUUCAAACCGUCCUGAAUCACGGACCGAGCCUUGCAAGACCUCACUCUUAUGCCCUCUCCUUUCUGGUAGAUCGGGUCUUGCCAUCUUCCCCUCUCGUGGCUCCCUGUCUUAAAUAAAUAGUUUGUUUUUCUGA